rnacentral:rRNA from 1 species
UACGUAGGGGGCUAGCGUUGUCCGGAAUCAUUGGGCGUAAAGCGCGUGUAGGCGGUCCGGUAAGUCCGCUGUGAAAGUCGGGGGCUCAACCCUCGGAUGCCGGUGGAUACUGUCGGGCUUGAGUACGGGAAGAGGCGAGUGGAAUUCCUGGUGUAGCGGUGAAAUGCGCAGAUAUCAGGAGGAACACCAAUUGCGAAGGCAGCUCGCUGGGACGUUACUGACGCUGAGACGCGAAAGCGUGGGGAGCAAACAGG